rnacentral:rRNA from 1 species
AGCUUGCUUUUUUUGCUGACGACCGGCGAACGGGUGCGUAACGCGUAUAGAAUCUGCCUUGUACAGGAGGAUAGCCUUUAGAAAUGAAGAUUAAUACUCCAUAAUGUUGAGAAAUGGCAUCAUUUUUUAAUUAAAGAUUUAUCGGUACAAGAUGACUAUGCGUCCUAUUAGCUAGAUGGUAAGGUAACGGCUUACCAUGGCGACGAUAGGUAGGGGGUCUGAGAGGAUUAUCCCCCACACUGUACUGAGACACGGACCAGACUCCUACGGGAGGCAGCAGUGAGGAAUAUUGGUCAAUGGAGGCAACUCUGAACCCAGCCAUGCCGCGUGCAGGAAGACUGCCCUAUGGGUUGUAAACUGCUUUUAUACAGGAAGAAACUUAGUUACGUGUAACUAACUGACGGUACUGUAAGAAUAAGCACCGGCUAACUCCGUGCCAGCAGCCGCGGUAAUACGGAGGGUGCAAGCGUUAUCCGGAAUCAUUGGGUUUAAAGGGUCCGCAGGCGGUCAAUUAAGUCAGAGGUGAAAUCCCAUAGCUUAACUAUGGAACUGCCUUUGAUACUGGUUGACUUGAGUUAUACGGAAGUAGAUAGAAUAAGUAGUGUAGCGGUGAAAUGCAUAGAUAUUACUUAGAAUACCGAUUGCGAAGGCAGUCUACUACGUAUAUACUGACGCUCAUGGACGAAAGCGUGGGGAGCGAACAGGAUUAGAUACCCUGGUAGUCCACGCCGUAAACGAUGGACACUAGUUGUUGGGAUUUAUCUCAGUGACUAAGCGAAAGUGAUAAGUGUCCCACCUGGGGAGUACGAUCGCAAGAUUGAAACUCAAAGGAAUUGACGGGGGCCCGCACAAGCGGUGGAGCAUGUGGUUUAAUUCGAUGAUACGCGAGGAACCUUACCAGGGCUUAAAUGUAGAGUGACAGGGGUAGAGAUACCUUUUUCUUCGGACACUUUACAAGGUGCUGCAUGGUUGUCGUCAGCUCGUGCCGUGAGGUGUCAGGUUAAGUCCUAUAACGAGCGCAACCCCUAUCGUUAGUUGCUAGCAGGUAAUGCUGAGGACUCUAGCGAGACUGCCGGUGCAAACCGUGAGGAAGGUGGGGAUGACGUCAAAUCAUCACGGCCCUUACGUCCUGGGCUACACACGUGCUACAAUGGUAUGGACAAUGAGCAGCCACAACGCGAGUUGGAGCGAAUCUAUAAACCAUAUCACAGUUCGGAUCGGAGUCUGCAACUCGACUCCGUGAA